rnacentral:lncRNA from 1 species
GGGGACAGAAUGGAAGCGGAAGCAGCCGGGUAUUCUUUCAAGUAUCCUCUGAGAGAGAGGAGCAGAAGAACCCGAUACCGUCGCAGUGACCUGGGAGAACAGAGCAGUCCUCCUCAGACCUCAGUGUGCUCAGCACUGGGCCUCUAGUUAAAAUGCAGAUUCCGUGGUAGUAGGUCUGGAAUCGAGGCUGAGAUUCUGCAUUCCCAACAAACUCGCAGUGAUGCGGAAGUGACUGUCCGGCUCCACUUUGGAAAGCGAGGAAGUCGAGUACUUAUUUGGGGAAAAGCCACAAAUGCUCACAGGGUUGGAGAAGCAGUGACCCAGCAGAGAAGUUACUUACCUUGCCCAAAGUUGCAAACAACAGUGAGAGUGAGCGAGAUCUGCGGCUGGCGCUCCUGGUUCCUGAGCCCGUGUUCAAGUCUAGUUGAUGCUGUUUCCCUCAUUCCAAGUACAAGGAGCAGCUGCUGCAAGGUAACCUCCCCAUCGGACAAUGAAAGGAUUUUACACCCCACUUCAAGCUGCAUCCUACCCAAAACUACCUAAGGAGCCAUUACCCUUCUUUAAAGGCAAUUGCGUGACCACUUAGGAGUGAAAUAACUCCACACAAUGAGCCAGAACCAUCCAACUCAAGGCUGGCAUUCCUGAAGGCUUGCACUGGGAGGAGCCCACCCUGCCGCUCAGCCCUGAGUCCACAACCCCAGCUGCAAGUUGCUCAAUGUCCUGACCUCCUGCUGCCUCGACAUCAGAGCUAUUUACCGAUUUCCUCUCUUUACUGAAACAACCACCACCACAACAACAAACUUCUGAUGAACUGGGGUUUCCCAAUCUGCCCUCGCACUUUUGCUCCCCAAGAAUCCAGUGCUGUAUGAACAGUGGGAAAUGGAAACAAUGGAAGCAUGUUUCAGCUGAAACUGGCACAAUUAGAAAAAAUCCACCAACCACAAAAAAAACUAGAAUGCCUACAUUAGCUUGGGGAUUUUUUGGUGCUUUAUUCUUAAGACGCUUUUGAAAGGUUGCAGCUAAAAGUAAAAUUUGUUUUGGUGGCAUUCUCAGCAAUAGAAAGCAAAGGAAUGUCUUGUCCUCCCCACGGAAGUAAAAAGAAGGAGCCCAGUUGCUGCUCUGCAGAAAGUGGCCAGAGAAUUUGCCUUCUCUGUCCUUAGAAUGAAGAGCGUCAAGGCAGCCUUCAUUUGCAGGCUUUGCAGGACUUUGCUGAUAUAAAAAGGCUUAGAAGCCAUUGAAUCUUUGAAGUCUUUCUUGACUCUAACAGGAGGCUAAAAGCCAAGUCUCUCGAAUUCAGAUUGUUCCCCGGGCCUGGAAAGAGACUGAAAUCCAGCUUGGUGGUCACCCAACCACACCUGCUCCACCACACCCUGCGGGAACAGAGUGAGACCCGGAGGCCAGCAGACGGCCUUUUGGGGGUGUGUCCCUGGCAAGUGAGGUACCUCACUGAGUGACUGUUUGGGGUGAAAUCAGCCUUUAGGGAACACUUCUCACAUACUUUUCUUGCUUUACCAAAUGAGGCUGAGCACCCAGAUUGGUGGGACCUUGGCCCAAUGAAAGCCAAAAGUCCGAGUUAGUGUAUUAGUACAGAGAGAAACAAAGUAAGUAUGAAGAAAAAAGUAUUUUAAAAAUCUGAGUUAGGAAAGGUGCAGACUCAGAUAAAAGAAGCAAAAUGGGUCAGUCACAUCUCCUGUUGAACCCAGUGCCCAGCUGAGCUUGACCAUGACAAUCAGUAACCGUGGACCCACCUGCCAGAGGUGCCUGGCCAUCCUGGGGUGGUGGGUCCUCAGUGGCCGUCUGUCCCCACUCCUGCCCCCUCACUUCACAUCAAAAGAGUUGGCUUGGCAGCAACUAAGCCCCCUAGGCUGUGUCUGUGUGUCAAGGAGCAGCUCGAGGGACCCCGUCUUCCACACCUCUGUAUCCCCUCUGUGUCCUCAGUCCCAUUAAACAUUGAUGUAUCUACAUUGAAUCCUCAUGCCACCUACUAUCUCUUUCUCCCCCAAACAAUAAUCACCAAAAAAA